rnacentral:rRNA from 1 species
GGGUUGUGAGGUUAAGCGACUAAGCGUACACGGUGGAUGCCCUGGCAGUCAGAGGCGAUGAAGGACGUGCUAAUCUGCGAUAAGCGUCGGUAAGGUGAUAUGAACCGUUAUAACCGGCGAUUUCCGAAUGGGGAAACCCAGUGUGAUUCGUCACACUAUCAUUAACUGAAUCCAUAGGUUAAUGAGGCGAACCGGGGGAACUGAAACAUCUAAGUACCCCGAGGAAAAGAAAUCAACCGAGAUUCCCCCAGUAGCGGCGAGCGAACGGGGAGCAGCCCAGAGCCUGAAUCAGUGUGUGUGUUAGUGGAAGCGUCUGGAAAGGCGCGCGAUACAGGGUGACAGCCCCGUACACAAAAAUGCACAUACUGUGAGCUCGAUGAGUAGGGCGGGACACGUGGUAUCCUGUCUGAAUAUGGGGGGACCAUCCUCCAAGGCUAAAUACUCCUGACUGACCGAUAGUGAACCAGUACCGUGAGGGAAAGGCGAAAAGAACCCCGGCGAGGGGAGUGAAAAAGAACCUGAAACCGUGUACGUACAAGCAGUGGGAGCACGCUUAGGCGUGUGACUGCGUACCUUUUGUAUAAUGGGUCAGCGACUUAUAUUCUGUAGCAAGGUUAACCGAAUAGGGGAGCCGAAGGGAAACCGAGUCUUAACUGGGCGUUAAGUUGCAGGGUAUAGACCCGAAACCCGGUGAUCUAGCCAUGGGCAGGUUGAAGGUUGGGUAACACUAACUGGAGGACCGAACCGACUAAUGUUGAAAAAUUAGCGGAUGACUUGUGGCUGGGGGUGAAAGGCCAAUCAAACCGGGAGAUAGCUGGUUCUCCCCGAAAGCUAUUUAGGUAGCGCCUCGUGAAUUCAUCUCCGGGGGUAGAGCACUGUUUCGGCAAGGGGGUCAUCCCGACUUACCAACCCGAUGCAAACUGCGAAUACCGGAGAAUGUUAUCACGGGAGACACACGGCGGGUGCUAACGUCCGUCGUGAAGAGGGAAACAACCCAGACCGCCAGCUAAGGUCCCAAAGUCAUGGUUAAGUGGGAAACGAUGUGGGAAGGCCCAGACAGCCAGGAUGUUGGCUUAGAAGCAGCCAUCAUUUAAAGAAAGCGUAAUAGCUCACUGGUCGAGUCGGCCUGCGCGGAAGAUGUAACGGGGCUAAACCAUGCACCGAAGCUGCGGCAGCGACGCUUAUGCGUUGUUGGGUAGGGGAGCGUUCUGUAAGCCUGCGAAGGUGUGCUGUGAGGCAUGCUGGAGGUAUCAGAAGUGCGAAUGCUGACAUAAGUAACGAUAAAGCGGGUGAAAAGCCCGCUCGCCGGAAGACCAAGGGUUCCUGUCCAACGUUAAUCGGGGCAGGGUGAGUCGACCCCUAAGGCGAGGCCGAAAGGCGUAGUCGAUGGGAAACAGGUUAAUAUUCCUGUACUUGGUGUUACUGCGAAGGGGGGACGGAGAAGGCUAUGUUGGCCGGGCGACGGUUGUCCCGGUUUAAGCGUGUAGGCUGGUUUUCCAGGCAAAUCCGGAAAACUAAGGCUGAGGCGUGAUGACGAGGCACUACGGUGCUGAAGCAACAAAUGCCCUGCUUCCAGGAAAAGCCUCUAAGCAUCAGGUAACAUCAAAUCGUACCCCAAACCGACACAGGUGGUCAGGUAGAGAAUACCAAGGCGCUUGAGAGAACUCGGGUGAAGGAACUAGGCAAAAUGGUGCCGUAACUUCGGGAGAAGGCACGCUGAUAUGUAGGUGAAGUCCCUCGCGGAUGGAGCUGAAAUCAGUCGAAGAUACCAGCUGGCUGCAACUGUUUAUUAAAAACACAGCACUGUGCAAACACGAAAGUGGACGUAUACGGUGUGACGCCUGCCCGGUGCCGGAAGGUUAAUUGAUGGGGUCAGCGCAAGCGAAGCUCUUGAUCGAAGCCCCGGUAAACGGCGGCCGUAACUAUAACGGUCCUAAGGUAGCGAAAUUCCUUGUCGGGUAAGUUCCGACCUGCACGAAUGGCGUAAUGAUGGCCAGGCUGUCUCCACCCGAGACUCAGUGAAAUUGAACUCGCUGUGAAGAUGCAGUGUACCCGCGGCAAGACGGAAAGACCCCGUGAACCUUUACUAUAGCUUGACACUGAACAUUGAGCCUUGAUGUGUAGGAUAGGUGGGAGGCUUUGAAGUGUGGACGCCAGUCUGCAUGGAGCCGACCUUGAAAUACCACCCUUUAAUGUUUGAUGUUCUAACGUUGACCCGUGAUCCGGGUUGCGGACAGUGUCUGGUGGGUAGUUUGACUGGGGCGGUCUCCUCCUAAAGAGUAACGGAGGAGCACGAAGGUUGGCUAAUCCUGGUCGGACAUCAGGAGGUUAGUGCAAUGGCAUAAGCCAGCUUGACUGCGAGCGUGACGGCGCGAGCAGGUGCGAAAGCAGGUCAUAGUGAUCCGGUGGUUCUGAAUGGAAGGGCCAUCGCUCAACGGAUAAAAGGUACUCCGGGGAUAACAGGCUGAUACCGCCCAAGAGUUCAUAUCGACGGCGGUGUUUGGCACCUCGAUGUCGGCUCAUCACAUCCUGGGGCUGAAGUAGGUCCCAAGGGUAUGGCUGUUCGCCAUUUAAAGUGGUACGCGAGCUGGGUUUAGAACGUCGUGAGACAGUUCGGUCCCUAUCUGCCGUGGGCGCUGGAGAACUGAGGGGGGCUGCUCCUAGUACGAGAGGACCGGAGUGGACGCAUCACUGGUGUUCGGGUUGUCAUGCCAAUGGCACUGCCCGGUAGCUAAAUGCGGAAGAGAUAAGUGCUGAAAGCAUCUAAGCACGAAACUUGCCCCGAGAUGAGUUCUCCCUGACUCCUUGAGAGUCCUGAAGGAACGUUGAAGACGACGACGUUGAUAGGCCGGGUGUGUAAGCGCAGCGAUGCGUUGAGCUAACCGGUACUAAUGAACCGUGAGGCUUAACCUUACAACGCCGAAGGUGUUU